rnacentral:rRNA from 1 species
GACGAACGCUGGCGGCGUGCUUAACACAUGCAAGUCGAACGGAAAGGCCCUGCUUUUGUGGGGUGCUCGAGUGGCGAACGGGUGAGUAACACGUGAGUAACCUGCCCUUGACUUUGGGAUAACUUCAGGAAACUGGGGCUAAUACCGGAUAGGAGCUCCUGCUGCAUGGUGGGGGUUGGAAAGUUUCGGCGGUUGGGGAUGGACUCGCGGCUUAUCAGCUUGUUGGUGGGGUAGUGGCUUACCAAGGCUUUGACGGGUAGCCGGCCUGAGAGGGUGACCGGCCACAUUGGGACUGAGAGAGGGCCCAGACUCCUACGGGCGGCAGCAGUGGGGAAUAUUGCACAAUGGGCGGAAGCCUGAUGCAGCAACGCCGCGUGCGGGAUGACGGCCUUCGGGUUGUAAACCGCUUUCGCCUGUGACGAAGCGUGAGUGACGGUAAUGGGUAAAGAAGCAACGGCUAACUACGUG